CAUGCUUACUCUCGCUGCUCCUCCCAGUUCCCUGUGGUUCUGCGGUAAUUAGCAAGAGCACCUGGGAAGCUCUAAGUGCUCCUUGAAAAUUCAAGUGCCAAGUGAUAUCACUUCGUGACUUGAAAGGAAGGCGGAUAACAAAGCCGGGCUGCUCUUGAUGCCUCACGCACCCUCCGCCUCUGGGAAUGGGCCCCUUCCUCACAGCGGAUGGCAAGUUUCGCCUUUGUCUGCAGCAUUUGGGUGUCCUCCUGAGAGGGAGUCAGGAGUAUCAGAGUGAGAGAGAGUUGAUGGUGCUAUGCUGCUGGCUGUGAAGAUGGAGGAAGCGGCCACGAGUCCACGAAGGCAGGCAACUCUUCAGGUGUUGGGAAAGGCAAGAAAACUUUCCGGGCUUGCCCUGAGUGUCCGGAAUGAACAUACCCAGCUUCAGGAACUCCCUGUACCUUGUAAAUGUGGACACAGACUAGAGGAACAAGGCUGUACACAUUGUGGAAGAAGCUGGAGGUGUAAAGAUUUGAAGGGAGGAGUUGGAGGAUCAGAGAAACAUCACUCACCAGACCUUCUGAAACACUGGCACAAGUGGACCAUGAAGGGCUGGAAAGGAAUAUGAGAAGGCAGGGGUGUCACCUGAGGAGGGAGCCUGGUGGAGGCGUCUAAGGCAGGCUGCCACCUCUGCAUCUGCUGGUCCAACAAAGGGCACAAUAUUCAUAAAAUACAACAAAAUGGAACAAACUACUGAUGCACAAAACAACGCGAUGCUGAGUGAAUGAAGCCAGACCCCAAAGAGUAUGUACUACAUGAUUUCACUUACAUGGAAUUCUAAACACACAAAACUAAUCUUUGAUGGUAGAAAUCACCAGAGUGUUUUCUUGGGGGUUGGGGUUGACUGGGAAGGGGCAUAAGAAAAAUUUCUGGGUGAUAGAAUAUUCUAAUGUUAAGUGUACAGUUGACACAGGUGUAUGCAUUUGUUAAAACUAAUCAAACUGCACUAUAUGUAAAUUAUAUUUCAAUAAAAUGAGUAAAACGUUCA